AGAAACCCUAAUUCCCAAAUCUGAGAAACCCUAACCCUAACUCCCUCACUACACACAGCCGCACCCCACCCCCUUCAAACUUUCCUUCAGCAUAGUAUUCAGUAGCAAAAUAGAGAGCAGAGAGAGAGGGCUCGAGGGAAGAGCUGCUGCCGCGCCGCCAUGACCGCCGGACUGCCGCACGCAAGGAUCCCACGCCACCAUCGCCAGCGUCGCCCAGCCUUGCCCGCGCCGUUCCGUUGCCGUUGCGCUGCACCCUAUCUGCGUUGCUGUCGCUGAUUGGUGGAAGGUAGGAGCAGAGUGCGCACAGAGGAAGAGAAGUCAUUCACCACUGCCAAACCUCCGUCGCCAGUGAUUCGCCGCCGCUGAAGCUCGUCACUGCUGCCGUGCCACCGCCGUGGAGAGAGAGCCAGACACCGCGAGGAAGAAGCCCGCAACCAGCCUUGUCGCCGUCAGUGUUGUGGGUUGCCGUCGCCAUCCACGCGAGCUGCCACCGCAUCAGCGUUACUGAGCUGCAGCGCCACCGUUGUUGCACCCUGCUGUUGCCGCGUCUCACCAAGCCGUCGCUGGAGGAGGAAGUUGCUCUGCCACCCUUCGAGCUUGCUGUUGCAGUUGCCUAUACCGCUGCCGUAGCUUCUUUGUUCUGUUAGUACCUUCUAAUUGUUAAUUGAACUUCCAGAAUUGAACUUCCAGAAUUGUUACUCUUAUCCGAUUUGAAUUCAUGGUUUUCGCUUGCUGCCGUGGCCACCUCACGUUGCUGCUGGCUCUGUUUGAAAAUGGCUGCUACUUCUAGAAUCUCAGAUCGGAGAGGAAAGGAGGCGUUUAACCUUGUCAUUGUUGCUGCCAUGGAAAUAGGUGCUGGAAACUGCUAAUGGAGCAGCUGCGUUUAGUGAAUUUCGUGAGUUUCGACUUUGAGUGACACAGGUUCGAAGACUCAGUUUGAAGCUGCGGGCGAGUAUAGUAUUUAUUUAUGAGAUAAGUUUUUUAGUUAGGUUAUUUUCAUAGAAUUCCCUCGCCCUUGUUACUUUA